rnacentral:rRNA from 1 species
AACGAACGCUGGCGGCAGGCUUAACACAUGCAAGUCGAGCGCCCCGCAAGGGGAGCGGCAGACGGGUGAGUAACGCGUGGGAACGUACCUUUUGGUUCGGAACAACUCCGGGAAACUGGAGCUAAUACCGGAUAAGCCCUAACGGGGAAAGAUUUAUCGCCGAAAGAUCGGCCCGCGUCUGAUUAGCUAGUUGGUGAGGUAACGGCUCACCAAGGCGACGAUCAGUAGCUGGUCUGAGAGGAUGAUCAGCCACACUGGGACUGAGACACGGCCCAGACUCCUACGGGAGGCAGCAGUGGGGAAUAUUGGACAAUGGGCGCAAGCAUGAUCCAGCCAUGCCGCGUGAGUGAUGAAGGCCUUGGGGUUGUAAAGCUCUUUUGUCCGGGAAGAUAAUGACUGUACCGGAAGAAUAAGCCCCGGCUAACUUCGUG